rnacentral:sRNA from 1 species
ACACACACACACACACACACACACACACACACACACAAAUACAGUUGGGCUGCCCUCUUUCACCAGCCCACCUCUGCCCAUUAGGUAGCCAUGGUCCAUUCUUCCAGGAGGCCAGUGAGGGGUCAGGUCAGCUCCCUAGGCCCUCCUAUCAGUACGGUCAUAGCAGCUGAGUGGCCAUAGGCAGGAUCCUGCUUUUAACUAUAUCUGAUGGAACAUUCCCACUGUAACGGUCCCUUCUUGGCUCCAGAAUACCUCCAGAUGGAUCUCUGGUGGACUACAAGACAGUUUCUAACAUGAUGACAGGGAAAGUGAUACAUGGCAAAUUACCAUAUCAGAGACGCAGACGUUCUCCCAGAGUGAUCGGAUGUGAAUUCCCUAUGUCCCAACUUUUGUCCUAGAAAUAAAGAGGGCAGGCUGCGGAGGGCCCUCACAGCUUUAAAACUGCAACAAGAAGCAGUUGUCAACGUGGAGGACAGAUGCUUAACACUUAAGGCCAAGGUAGGCACUUACACAGGGUCAACCCCUCCUAUAUGAUUGCUACUGAGAAUGCUGCACAGCUGUCUUGCUUCAGGUGCUAAGGGAAGUUGACUUGGGCAUGCUUUUAUUUGUCUAGGAAGAAGGCAAUGAGAAAUGGAUAUGCCAGUUUAUUAAAAGCGUGACUGGGGUCAACCGAGGCUUCAGUGGAGUUAGCUAUCAGUGCUACAGACCUGCCUUCAUCACUGCUAUAGCAAGGCCUCAAGCUCCACGGGGACGGACAUGAUGUUAGCUUUGAGUCAGGAGAAGACAGAAACAGAGCACAUCACAACCACACUCAGAGAGCACAGCAAGUACCAGCUCCAACUUCAGUCUUCUACCACAUUCUAACCUCAAAUAUCUACCAAGCAGCUUCCAAUCACUGUGAAACAGGACUUGGGAUCCUAGCUUAUAGCCCAAUAAGCCGGCACAGGACUGGGAUCUCCAAGACUGCAGUCCCCUGGAGGCAGCUCCACUGGUGGAAAGCUUUCCCUGAGCAAAGACGUC